rnacentral:rRNA from 1 species
GUUGUAUAGUCAAGUAAUUAAGUGCAUGUGGUGGAUGCCUUGGCAGUCAGAGGCGAUGAAAGACGUGAUAGCCUGCGAAAAGCUCCGGGGAGGCGGCAAAUAUCCUUUGAUCCGGAGAUGUCUGAAUGGGGGAACCCACCUACUUUAAGGUAGGUAUUGCAACAUGAAUACAUAGUGUUGCAAGGCGAACGAGGGGAAGUGAAACAUCUCAGUACCCUUAGGAAAAGAAAUCAAUUGAGAUUCCCUCAGUAGCGGCGAGCGAACGGGGAUCAGCCCAUUAAGUUAUGUGUGUUUUAGUGGAACGCUCUGGGAAGUGCGAACGUAGAGGGUGAUAUUCCCGUACACGAAAGGGCACACAUAAUGAUGACGAGUAGGGCGAGGCACGUGAAACCUUGUCUGAAUAUGGGGGGACCAUCCUCCAAGGCUAAAUACUCCUGACUGACCGAUAGUGAACCAGUACCGUGAGGGAAAGGCGAAAAGAACCCCUGUGAGGGGAGUGAAAUAGAUCCUGAAACCGCAUGCAUACAAGCAGUGGGAGCACCUUCGUGGUGUGACUGCGUACCUUUUGUAUAAUGGGUCAGCGACUUAUAUUCAGUAGCAAGGUUAACCGUAUAGGGGAGCCGUAGAGAAAUCGAGUCUUAAUAGGGCGUUUAGUUGCUGGGUAUAGACCCGAAACCAGGCGAUCUAUCCAUGAGCAGGUUGAAGGUUGGGUAACACUAACUGGAGGACCGAACCCACUGUCGUUGAAAAGCCAGGGGAUGACUUGUGGAUAGGGGUGAAAGGCUAAUCAAGCCUGGUGAUAGCUGGUUCUCCCCGAAAGCUAUUUAGGUAGCGCCUCGGACGAAUACCAUAGGGGGUAGAGCACUGUUUCGGCUAGGGGGUCAUCCCGACUUACCAAACCGAUGCAAACUCCGAAUACCUAUGAGUACUAUCCGGGAGACAGACUGCGGGUGCUAACGUCCGUAGUCAAGAGGAAAACAAUCCAGACCGCCAGCUAAGGCCCCAAAAUCAUAGUUAAGUGGGAAACGAUGUGGGAAGGCAUAGACAGCUAGGAGGUUGGCUUAGAAGCAGCCACCCUUUAAAGAAAGCGUAAUAGCUCACUAGUCGAGUCGGCCUGCGCGGAAGAUGUAACGGGGCUAAAACUAUGUGCCGAAGCUGCGGAUGUAUACUUUGUAUACGUGGUAGGGGAGCGUUCUGUAAGCCGAUGAAGGUGUGUUGAGAAGCAUGCUGGAGGUAUCAGAAGUGCGAAUGCUGACGUGAGUAACGACAAAACGGGUGAAAAACCCGUUCGCCGAAAGACCAAGGGUUCCAGUCCAACGUUAAUCGGGGCUGGGUGAGUCGACCCCUAAGGCGAGGCCGAAAGGCGUAGUCGAUGGGAAAAUGGUUAAUAUUCCAUUACUUCUGUGUAAUGCGAUGAGAGGACGGAGAAGGCUAAAUCAGCCUGGCGUUGGUUGUCCAGGUGAAAGGAUGUAGGCAUGUAUCUUAGGCAAACCCGGGGUACUCUAUGCUGAGAUCUGAUAGCAAGCUGUACUUGUACAGCGAAGUGGUUGAUGCCAUGCUUCCAGGAAAAGUCUCUAAGCUUCAGUUACACAGGAAUCGUACCCGAAACCGACACAGGUGGUCAGGUCGAGUAGACCAAGGCGCUUGAGAGAACUCUGCUGAAGGAACUAGGCAAAAUGGUACCGUAACUUCGGGAGAAGGUACGCUGUUGUUGGUGAUGGAACUCGCUUCCUGAGCUGACGACAGCCGCAGAAACCAGGCCGCUGCAACUGUUUAUUAAAAACAUAGCACUCUGCAAACACGAAAGUGGACGUAUAGGGUGUGAUGCCUGCCCGGUGCUGGAAGGUUAAUUGAUGGGGUUAGCGUAAGCGAAGCUCUUGAUCGAAGCCCCAGUAAACGGCGGCCGUAACUAUAACGGUCCUAAGGUAGCGAAAUUCCUUGUCGGGUAAGUUCCGACCUGCACGAAUGGCAUAAUGAUGGCGGCGCUGUCUCCAGCAGAGGCUCAGUGAAAUCGAAAUCGCUGUGAAGAUGCAGUGUACCCGCGGCUAGACGGAAAGACCCCGUGAACCUUUACUGCAGCUUGACACUGAACUUUGACCUUACUUGUGUAGGAUAGGUGGGAGGCUUUGAAGCUGGAACGCUAGUUCCAGUGGAGCCGUCCUUGAAAUACCACCCUGGUAAUGUUGAGGUUCUAACUCUGUCCCGUGAUCCGGGACGAGGACCGUGUCUGGUGGGUAGUUUGACUGGGGCGGUCUCCUCCUAAAGAGUAACGGAGGAGUACGAAGGUGCGCUCAGCGUGGUCGGAAAUCACGCGUAGAGUAUAAAGGCAAAAGCGCGCUUAACUGCGAGACCCACAAGUCGAGCAGGUACGAAAGUAGGUCUUAGUGAUCCGGUGGUUCUGUAUGGAAGGGCCAUCGCUCAACGGAUAAAAGGUACUCUGGGGAUAACAGGCUGAUACCGCCCAAGAGUUCAUAUCGACGGCGGUGUUUGGCACCUCGAUGUCGGCUCAUCUCAUCCUGGGGCUGAAGCAGGUCCCAAGGGUAUGGCUGUUCGCCAUUUAAAGAGGUACGCGAGCUGGGUUUAGAACGUCGUGAGACAGUUCGGUCCCUAUCUACCGUGGGCGCUGGAAAUUUGAGAGGAUCUGCUCCUAGUACGAGAGGACCAGAGUGGACGAACCUCUGGUGUACCGGUUGUGACGCCAGUCGCAUCGCCGGGUAGCUAUGUUCGGAAGGGAUAACCGCUGAAAGCAUCUAAGCGGGAAGCCUACCUCAAGAUAAGAUUUCCCUAGGACUUUAUGUCCUCUAAAGAGCCGUUCGAGACUAGGACGUUGAUAGGUUGGAUGUGGAAGCAUAGUGAUAUGUGAAGCUGACCAAUACUAAUUGCUCGUGAGGCUUGACUAUACAACACCCAAGCAGUUG